rnacentral:rRNA from 1 species
CGGCAUCAGCUCAAAUUUGGAAUCUGGCUUCUUUGGAGCCCGAGUUGUAAUUUGUAGAAGAUGCUUCGGGUGUGGCUCCGGUCUAAGUUCCUUGGAACAGGACGUCAUAGAGGGUGAGAAUCCCGUAUGUGACUGGCUGCCUUCGCCUAUGUGAAGCUCUUUCGAC